AUGGAAAGCCUAUAUGUGGCAACUGACACAGUUGAUGUGGAAAUUAGUUGCCAUCCAGUGCACAUGGUUGCUGAAACUGCAAUGACUACCUAUUUACUACACUUUACCAUGCCUACAGCAUGGCAACAACCAUAUCAUGUGCACGAAAUUAGUUGCCACAUGAAAAACAUAUUUGUGGCAACUAUCACAUUCAAUCAGGAAAUGAGUUGCCAUACGGUGCAGAUAGUUACUCAAACUAUCAUGUUUGCAUUCAUACUGCACUUUGGAAAACAACUACCUAGAUCUAGGGUUCAAUGGCAACUAUCAUGA
rnacentral:rRNA from 1 species